rnacentral:rRNA from 1 species
GGUGUCGCUGAUGGAUGGACCCGCGGUGCAUUAGCUAGUUGGUGAGGUAACGGCUCACCAAGGCCACGAUGCAUAGCCGACCUGAGAGGGGUGAUCGGCCACCAUUGGGACUGAGACACGGGCCCAAACUCCUACGGGUAGGGCAGCAGUAGGGAAUCUUCGGCAAUGGACGAAAGUCUGACCGAGCAACGCCUGGCGUGAGUGAAGAAGGUUUUCGGAUCGUAAAACUCUGUUGUUAGAGAAGAACAAGGAUGAGAGUAACUGUUCAUCCCUUGACGGUAUCUAACCAGAAAGCCACGGCUAACUACGUGCCAGCAGCCGCGGUAAUACGUAGGUGGCAAGCGUUGUCCGGAUUUAUUGGGCGUAAAGCGAGCGCAGGCGGUUUCUUAAGUCUGAUGUGAAAGCCCCCGGCUCAACCGGGGAGGGUCAUUGGAAACUGGGAGACUUGAGUGCAGAAGAGGAGAGUGGAAUUCCAUGUGUAGCGGUGAAAUGCGUAGAUAUAUGGAGGAACACCAGUGGCGAAGGCGGCUCUCUGGUCUGUUAACUGACGCUGAGGCUCGAAAGCGUGGGGAGCAAACAGGAUUAGAUACCCUGGUAGUCCACGCCGUAAACGAUGAGUGCUAAGUGUUGGAGGGUUUCCGCCCUUCAGUGCUGCAGCUAACGCAUUAAGCACUCCGCCUGGGGAGUACGACCGCAAGGUUGAAACUCAAAGGAAUUGACGGGGGCCCGCACAAGCGGUGGAGCAUGUGGUUUAAUUCGAAGCAACGCGAAGAACCUUACCAGGUCUUGACAUCCUUUGACCACUCUAGGAGAUAGAGCGUUCCCCUUCGGGGGCAAAGUGACAGGUGGUGCAUGGUUGUCGUCAGCUCGUGUCGUGAGAUGUUGGGUUAAGUCCCGCAACGAGCGCAACCCUUAUUGUUAGUUGCCAUCAUUCAGUUGGGCACUCUAGCAAGACUGCCGGUGACAAACCGGAGGAAGGUGGGGAUGACGUCAAAUCAUCAUGCCCCUUAUGACCUGGGCUACACACGUGCUACAAUGGGAAGUACAACGAGUUGCGAAGUCGCGAGGCUAAGCUAAUCUCUUAAAGCUUCUCUCAGUUCGGAUUGCAGGCUGCAACUCGCCUGCAUGAAGCCGGAAUCGCUAGUAAUCGCGGAUCAGCACGUCGCGGUGCAAUACGUUCCCGGGCCUUGUACACACCGCCCGUCACACCACGAGAGUUUGUAACACCCGAAGUCGGUGAGGUAA